AACGAACGCUGGCGGCAUGCCUAACACAUGCAAGUCGAACGAGACCUUCGGGUCUAGUGGCGCACGGGUGCGUAACGCGUGGGAACCUGCCCUUAGGUUCGGAAUAACUCCCCGAAAGGGGUGCUAAUACCGGAUAAUGUCUUCGGACCAAAGAUUUAUCGCCUUUGGAUGGGCCCGCGUUGGAUUAGCUAGUUGGUAGGGUAAAAGCCUACCAAGGCGACGAUCCAUAGCUGGUCUGAGAGGAUGAUCAGCCACACUGGGACUGAGACACGGCCCAGACUCCUACGGGAGGCAGCAGUGGGGAAUAUUGGACAAUGGGCGAAAGCCUGAUCCAGCAAUGACGCGUGAGUGAUGAAGGCCUUAGGGUUGUAAAGCUCUUUUACACGGGAUGAUAAUGACAGUACCGGGAGAAUAAGCUCCGGCUAACUCCGUG
rnacentral:rRNA from 1 species